UAUGUCCGUGCACCUGUUUUUCUUUCGCUUCUUUUUUGCAUCCUGACCCGGGAGGCAAGGUCUUACGAGAAACAAGCGAAAGACGAACAGCCAAGCCUCCCACCGGGAGGCUUUUUUUAU
rfam:Oceanimonas sp. GK1, complete genome.